rnacentral:rRNA from 1 species
UACAGAGGUCUCAAGCGUUGUUCGGAAUUACUGGGCGUAAAGGGUGCGCAGGCCGCGCGGGCAGUCAAAUGUGUAAUCCAGGGGCUCAACCCCUGAACUGCGCUUGAUACUUCCGCGCUCGAGCUUUGGAGAGGAGUCUGGAAUUCUCGGUGUAGCAGUGAAAUGCGUGGAUAUCGAGAAGAACACUUAGGGCGUAGGCAAGACUCUGGACAGAUGCUGACGCUCAUGCACGAAGGCUAGGGUAGCGAACGGG